rnacentral:tRNA from 1 species
AGGGGAAUCAUCCAGUGGUAGGAUGACAGUCUCCAAAACUGUUCACGGGGGUUCGAAUCCCUCUUCCCCUG